UACAGAGGUCCCAAGCGUUGUUCGGAUUCACUGGGCGUAAAGGGUGCGUAGGUGGCGAGGUAAGUCGGAUGUGAAAGCUCGGAGCUCAACUCCGAAAUGGCAUUGGAAACUACCUUGCUCGAGGGUUGGAGGGGGGACUGGAAUUCUCGGUGUAGCAGUGAAAUGCGUAGAUAUCGAGAGGAACACCAGUGGCGAAGGCGAGUCCCUGGACAACUACUGACACUGAGGCACGAAAGCUAGGGGAGCAAACAGG
rnacentral:rRNA from 1 species